rnacentral:rRNA from 1 species
CACGUAGGGGGCAAGCGUUGUCCGGAUUUAUUGGGCGUAAAGAGCUCGUAGGUGGUUCGGUAAGUCGGGUGUGAAACCUCCAGGCUCAACCUGGAGACGCCACCCGAUACUGCUGUGACUGGAGUCCGGUAGGGGAGCGUGGAAUUCCUGGUGUAGCGGUGAAAUGCGCAGAUAUCAGGAGGAACACCAGCGGCGAAGGCGGCGCUCUGGGCCGUUGCUGACGCUGAGGCGCGACAGCGUGGGGAGCAAACAGG